GUGCCAGACUCCUACGGGAGGCAGCAGUGGGGAAUAUUGCACAAUGGGGGAAACCCUGAUGCAGCGACGCCGCGUGAGCGAUGAAGUAUUUCGGUAUGUAAAGCUCUAUCAGCAGGGAAGAAAAUGACGGUACCUGACUAAGAAGCCCCGGCUAACUACGUGCCAGCAGCCGCGGUAAUACGUAGGGGGCAAGCGUUAUCCGGAUUUACUGGGUGUAAAGGGAGCGUAGACGGCAAUGCAAGCCAGAUGUGAAAGCCCGGGGCCCAACCCCGGGACUGCUCUUGGAACUGCGUGGCUGGAGUGCAGGAGGGGCAGGCGGAAUUCCUGGUGUAGCGGUGGAAUGCGUAGAUAUCAGGAGGAACACCAGUGGCGAAGGCGGUCUGCUGGACAGCAACUGACGCUGAGGCGCGAAAGCGUGGGGAGCAAACAGGAUUAGAUACCCCAGUC
rnacentral:rRNA from 1 species